CCUACGGGAGGCAGCAGUGGGGAAUAUUGGGCAAUGGGCGCAAGCCUGACCCAGCAACGCCGCGUGAAGGAAGAAGGCUUUCGGGUUGUAAACUGCCUUUCUCAGGGACGAAGCAAGUGACGGUACCUGAGGAAUAAGCCACGGCUAACUACGUGCCAGCAGCCGCGGUAAUACGUAGGUGGCAAGCGUUAUCCGGAUUUACUGGGUGUAAUGGGUGUGUAGGCGGGAAAGCAAGUCAGAUGGGAAAACCAUGGGGUCAACCUGUGGCCUGCAUUUGAAACUGUUUUUCUUGAGUACUGGAGAGGCAGACGGAAUUCCUGGUGGAGCGGUGAAAUGCGUAGAUAUUAGGAGGAACACCAGUGGCGAAGGCGGUCUGCUGGACAGCAACUGACGCUGAGGCGCGAAAGCGUGGGGAGCAAACAGGAUUAGAUACCCGAGUAGUC
rnacentral:rRNA from 1 species